CCGCGGCCUCUCGCAUGCUGUGUGAGGCUGAACGGUAUCAACCUCAGGUAGCAGAGACCACAUGACUGCUAGCUCCCUGAGUAGCUGCCGUUGAGACUCGAGAAAGCGUGUUGUUGUCGAUUUC
rnacentral:precursor_RNA from 14 species